UCUGUCUGUCUGUCUGUCUGUCUGACUGACUGUCUCUCUCUCUUGUUACAGACCAUCCUUUACAGACAGGAAACGUCUUGGUUUGGACAGGAAGCGUCCUGGAGGCUCCAGGUUCAAGAAGAAGUGAAUCCAGCAGCUUCGUCUCUGAUCAUCUUCGUCUUCAUCGUCUCUGUUUGUUUGUUUUCAUUAAAGAGAAUUUAAAUAGU